GACGAACGCUGGCGGCGUGCUUAACACAUGCAAGUCGAACGGAAAGGCCCUGCUUUUGUGGGGUGCUCGAGUGGCGAACGGGUGAGUAACACGUGAGUAACCUGCCCUUGACUUUGGGAUAACUUCAGGAAACUGGGGCUAAUACCGGAUAGGAGCUCCUGCUGCAUGGUGGGGGUUGGAAAGUUUCGGCGGUUGGGGAUGGACUCGCGGCUUAUCAGCUUGUUGGUGGGGUAGUGGCUUACCAAGGCUUUGACGGGUAGCCGGCCUGAGAGGGUGACCGGCCACAUUGGGACUGAGAUACGGCCCAGACUCCUACGGGAGGCAGCAGUGGGGAAUAUUGCACAAUGGGCGGAAGCCUGAUGCAGCAACGCCGCGUGCGGGAUGACGGCCUUCGGGUUGUAGACCGCUUUCGCCUGUGACGAAGCGUAAGUGACGGUAAUGGGUAAAGAAGCACCGGCUAACUACGUG
rnacentral:rRNA from 1 species